rnacentral:rRNA from 1 species
CACUUCAAGGGAGGAGCAGGCGCGCAAUUACCCAAUCCUGACUCAGGGAGGUAGUGACAAGAAAUAACAAUAAACCGGCUUAUGCCGGUUUAAUUGGGAUGAGUACAAUUUAAACAUCUUAACGAGGAACAAUUGGAGGGCAAGUCUGGUGCCAGCAGCCGCGGUAAUUCCAGCUCCAAUAGCGUAUACUAAAGUUGUUGCAGUUAAAAAGCUCGUAGUUGGAUUUCUGUGGGGACGGAGCGGCCGGCCGCACAUCGCGGUUCGAGCUAGCGCUUUCCCUACAUCCUGCCGCGAACCGUGCUACCAUUAGUUUGGUGGCGCCGGGGAUCGGCUCGAUUACUUUGAGAAAAAUAGAGUGUUCAAAGCAGGCCACAUGCCUUGAAUAAGUUAGCAUGGAAUAAUAACUAAGGACUUCGGUUCUAUUUUGUUGGUGUUCGGGACUGAAGUAAUGAUUGAUAGGGACAGUUGGGGCGGUCUGUAUUCCAAAGCGAGAGGUGAAAUUCUUAGACCUUCGGAAGACAAACAGCUGCGAAAGCGUUCCGCAAGGAUGUUCCCUUUGAUCAAGAACGAAAGUUGGGGGAUCGAAGACGAUCAGAUACCGUCGUAGUCUCAACUAUAAACUAUACCAGCUAGGGAUCGGCCAACGUUAUUUUAUACCGACUUGGUCGGCACCUUAUGAGAAAUCAAAGCAUCUGGGUUCCGGGGGGAGUAUGGUCGCAAGGCUGAAACUUAAAGGAAUUGACGGAAGGGCACCACCAGCCGUGGAGCCUGUGGCUUAAUUUGACUCAACACGGGAAAACUUACCAGGUGCAGACAUAGUAAGGAUUGACAGAUUGAUAGCUCUUUCUUGAUUCUGUGGGUGGUGGUGCAUGGCCGUUCUUAGUUGGUGGAGUGAUUUGUCUGGUUAAUUCCGUUAACGAACGAGACCCCAGCCUGCUAAAUAGCGCGCGUGAGCUUUGCUCGCGGCGAGCUUCUUAGAGGGACUAUGAUGCGCGAUAGCACAUGGAAGUUUGGGGCAAUAACAGGUCUGUGAUGCCCUUAGAUGUUCUGGGCCGCACACGGGCUACACUGGCGCCUGCAACGAGCAUAUCAGCUGGUCCGAGAGGAUCUUGGCUAAUCUUUUGAACCGGCGCCGUGCUUGGGAUUGACCUUUGCAAUUGUUGGUCAUGCAACGAGGAAUGCCUUGUAAACGCGAGUCAUCAGCUCGCAUUGAAUACGUCCCUGCCCUUUGUACACACCGCCCGUCGCUCCUACCGAUGAAUGUUCCGAUGAAAUUUUCGGAGAGUGCCUGUGAACUUGGCUCUGCCUUGCGAACGGGAAGCUCAAAGUCACUUAAAUCUGAACUUUGAG